GCCACCGUAGCUCAGUUGGUAGAGCAUUUCACUCGUAACGAAAAGGUCGCCAGUUCAAUCCUGGCCGGUGGCUCCA
rnacentral:tRNA from 1 species